GCCGUGGGCGCUGGAGAAUUGAGGGGGGCUGCUCCUAGUACGAGAGGACCGGAGUGGACGCAUCACUGGUGUUCGGGUUGUCAUGCCAAUGGCACUGCCCGGUAGCUAAAUGCGGAAGAGAUAAGUGCUGAAAGCAUCUAAGCACGAAACUUGCCCCGAGAUGAGUUCUCCCUGAGACCUUGAGUCUCCUGAAGGAACGUUAAAGACGAUGACGUUGAUAGGUCGGGUGUGUAAGCGCAGCGAUGCGUUGAGCUAACCGAUACUAAUGAACCGUGAGGCUUAACCUU
rnacentral:rRNA from 1 species